rnacentral:rRNA from 1 species
UACAGGGGGUGCAAACGUUGCUCGGAAUCAUUGGGCGUAAAGCGCACGUAGGCGGUUCGUUAUGUCGGAUGUGAAAGCCCUUGGCUUAACCGAGGAAGUGCAUCCGAAACUGGCGAGCUAGAGUACGAAAGAGGAUCGCGGAAUUGCCGGUGUAGAGGUGAAAUUCGUAGAUAUCGGGAGGAACACCGGUGGCGAAGGCGGCGAUCUGGGUCGAUACUGACGCUGAGACGCGAAAGCGUGGGUAGCAAACAGG